CAGACAGCAAGUUCAGCUUGUUAGACUUAGUAGAGCGCCCGGAUAUAUAUGGGUGGAGUAGCUCUGAUAUAUACAUCGGAGCCUGAUCAUGCAAUGCUCUUUUCUGAGACUUUUACAUCAAGAGAGCCUGAGAGGACCGUGUACCAACACCUGCCAAUAUCACCCUGUCGGUACACUACAGUAAAGAAAAAAAAUAAAGCUCAAGGAAGCACUCGUAGUAGCUACACAGACAAAUCUGCUGCAGCAUGGCUGGGUGGAACUUCUCGAAUGCUUUCACCCGUUUCAGAUGAGCCAUGAUGAUGUCCACGUCUUCUCCAGAUCGCUCUGCUGGUCUAUUACACACACACACAAAUAAACAAACUUACAACAUCGA